GCCGCUUUAGCUCAGUCGGUAGAGCGUCUCACUCGUAAUGAGAAGGUCAGGAGUUCGAUUCUCCUAAGCGGCUCCA
rnacentral:tRNA from 4 species